rnacentral:rRNA from 1 species
GACGAACGCUGGCGGCGUGCCUAAUACAUGCAAGUAGGACGCAGUUGCGAAUGGGUGCGUAACGCGUAGGUAACUACAUAUUAGAGGGGGAUAAAUAUUGGAAACGAUAGCUAAUACAGCAUCCUAAUAGAUGGACCUGCGUUGUAUUAGCUAGUAGGUCGGGUAAAGGGCUACCUAGGUAACGAUACAUAGCCGCGCUUGUAAGGUGAUCGGCCAACCUGGGACUGGGACACGGGCCAGACUCCUACGGGGGGCAGCAGUAGGGGAUCGUCGGAAAUGGGGGGAACCCUUACCGAGCAACGCCGCGGGGGUGAAUAAGGUUGUCGGAGCGGAAAGCUCUGUUGUGAAGGAAGCGGUACUUAACCAAAAAGGGACGGCUAACUACGUGCCAGCAGCCGCGGUAAUAC